rnacentral:lncRNA from 1 species
UUGAUUUUAGUAUUUUUGAAAGAUUAAUCUUAAGGGUCAUUUUAUCUUUUUGGAUGAACAAUUAUGUAUCAACUAAAAAUACAAUAAAACAAACUAAAAAAUAAAGCAAUAAUAAAAAAAGAAGAUAAAAGAAAUAAUAAAAGGGAGGGGGCACACUAUCAAUACAAGAGGUAAAAUAAUUAAAACAUUAAAGAAAAUAAAAUAAAAAACAAAAAUAAAGUAAUAAAGUAAUAAUAAGAAAACAAUAAAUAAAAAAAAUAUACAAAAGACAAAAACAUACUGAAAAUUGGGGG